GGCUGUAGCUCAGUGGCAGAGCGCUUGCCUAGCAUGCAUGAGGCACAGGGUUCGGUCCUCAGCACGACA
rnacentral:tRNA from 1 species